CCUACGGGUGGCUGCAGUGGGGAAUAUUGGACAAUGGGGGCAACCCUGAUCCAGCCAUGCCGCGUGAGUGAUGAAGGCCCUAGGGUUGUAAAGCUCUUUUGUGCGGGAAGAUAAUGACGGUACCGCAAGAAUAAGCCCCGGCUAACUUCGUGCCAGCAGCCGCGGUAAUACGAAGGGGGCUAGCGUUGCUCGGAAUCACUGGGCGUAAAGGGUGCGUAGGCGGGUCUUUAAGUCAGAGGUGAAAUCCUGGAGCUCAACUCCAGAACUGCCUUUGAUACUGAGGAUCUUGAGUCCGGAAGAGGUGAGUGGAACUGCGAGUGUAGAGGUGAAAUUCGUAGAUAUUCGCAAGAACACCAGUGGCGAAGGCGGCUCACUGGUCCGGUACUGACGCUGAGGCACGAAAGCGUGGGGAGCAAACAGGAUUAGAUACCCUAGUAGUC
rnacentral:rRNA from 1 species